GAUGAACGCUGGCGGCGUGCCUAAUACAUGCAAGUCGAGCGAACAGACGAGGAGCUUGCUCCUCUGACGUUAGCGGCGGACGGGUGAGUAACACGUGGAUAACCUACCUAUAAGACUGGGAUAACUUCGGGAAACCGGAGCUAAUACCGGAUAAUAUAUUGAACCGCAUGGUUCAAUAGUGAAAGACGGUUUUGCUGUCACUUAUAGAUGGAUCCGCGCCGCAUUAUCGAGUUGGUAAGGUAACGGCUUACCAAGGCGACGAUCCGUAGCCGACCUGGAAGGAGGAGACGACACACUAGAACUGACACACAGGCCAGACUACUACGGGGCGCAGCAGUGGGGAAUAUUUGACAAUAGGCGCAACGCUGAUCCAUCCAUACCGCGUGAGUGAAGAAUUCCUUCGUGUUGUAAAGCCCCUUUGUUGGGAAAGAAAAGCAGCAGGUGAAUACCCCGCUGUUCUGACCGGACCAAAAAAAUAAGCACCGGCUCGGUUCAUU
rnacentral:rRNA from 1 species